rnacentral:rRNA from 1 species
AGUGAACGCUGGCGGUAGGCCUAACACAUGCAAGUCGAACGGCAGCACAGUAAGAGCUUGCUCUUACGGGUGGCGAGUGGCGGACGGGUGAGGAAUACAUCGGAAUCUACUUUUUCGUGGGGGAUAACGUAGGGAAACUUACGCUAAUACCGCAUACGACCUACGGGUGAAAGCAGGGGAUCUUCGGACCUUGCGCGAUUGAAUGAGCCGAUGUCGGAUUAGCUAGUUGGCGGGGUAAAGGCCCACCAAGGCGACGAUCCGUAGCUGGUCUGAGAGGAUGAUCAGCCACACUGGAACUGAGACACGGUCCAGACUCCUACGGGAGGAAGCAGUGGGGAAUAUUGGACAAUGGGCGCAAGCCUGAUACAGCCAUACCGCGUGGGUGAAGAAGGCCUUCGGGUUGUAAAGCCCUUUUGUUGGGAAAGAAAAGCAGCAGGUUAAUACCCCGCUGUUCUGACGGUACCCAAAGAAUAAGCACCGGCUAACUUCGUG